rnacentral:rRNA from 1 species
AGAGUUUGAUCCUGGCUCAGAACGAACGCUGGCGGCAGGCUUAACACAUGCAAGUCGAACGAUAUAGUGGCAGACGGGUGAGUAACGCGUGGAAACGUGCCUUUCACUACGGAAUAGCUUUUGGAAACGAAAGGUAAUACCGUAUACGCCCUCCGGGGGAAAGAUUUAUCGGUGAAAGAUCGGUCCGCGUUAGAUUAGCUAGUUGGUGAGGUAAGAGCUCACCAAGGCGACGAUCUAUAGCUGGUCUGAGAGGAUGAUCAGCCACACUGGGACUGAGACACGGCCCAGACUCCUACGGGAGGCAGCAGUGGGGAAUAUUGCACAAUGGGCGCAAGCCUGAUGCAGCCAUGCCGCGUGAAUGAUGAAGGCCUUAGGGUUGUAAAAUUCUUUCGCCAAGGAUGAUAAUGACAGUACUUGGUAAAGAAGCCCCGGCUAACUUCGUGCCAGCAGCCGCGGUAAUACGAGGGGGGCUAGCGUUGUUCGGAAUUACUGGGCGUAAAGCGCACGUAGGCGGAUUUUUAAGUCAGAUGUGAAAUCCCAAGGCUCAACCUUGGAACUGCAUUUGAAACUGGGAAUCUAGAGAUCAGGAGAGGUUAGUGGAAUACCGAGUGUAGAGGUGAAAUUCGUAGAUAUUCGGUGGAACACCAGUGGCGAAAGGCGACUAACUGGACUGAUACUGACGCUGAGGUGCGAAAGUGUGGGGAGCAAACAGGAUUAGAUACCCUGGUAGUCCACACCGUAAACCGAUGAGAGCUAGUUGUCUGCAGGCAUGCCUGUAGGUGACGCAGCUAACGCAUUAAGCUCUCCGCCUGGGGAGUACGGCCGCAAGGUUAAAACUCAAAGAAAUUGACGGGGGCCCGCACAAGCGGUGGAGCAUGUGGUUUAAUUCGAAGCAACGCGCAGAACCUUACCUACGCUUGACAUGCCUGGACGACUCCGAGAGAUCGGUUUCUCCCUUCGGGGCCAGUGCACAGGUGCUGCAUGGCUGUCGUCAGCUCGUGUCGUGAGAUGUUGGGUUAAGUCCCGCAACGAGCGCAACCCUCAUCCUUAGUUGCCAUCACGUUUGGGUGGGCACUCUAGGGAAACUGCCGGUGCUAAGCCGGAGGAAGGCGGGGAUGACGUCAAGUCCUCAUGGCCCUUACGCGUAGGGCUACACACGUGCUACAAUGGCAGUGACAAUGGGAUAAUCCCCAAAAGCUGUCUCAGUUCGGAUUGUCGGCUGCAACUCGCCGGCAUGAAGUUGGAAUCGCUAGUAAUCGUGGAUCAGCAUGCCACGGUGAAUACGUUCCCGGGCCUUGUACACACCGCCCGUCACACCAUGGGAGUUGGAUCUACCCGAAGAUUGUGAGCUAACUUCGGAGGCAGCAAGCCACGGUAGGUUCAGCGACUGGGGUGAAGUCGUAACAAGGUAUCCGUA